rnacentral:rRNA from 1 species
GAUGAACGCUGGCGGCGUGCCUAAUACAUGCAAGUCGAGCGAACAGACGAGGAGCUUGCUCCUCUGACGUUAGCGGCGGACGGGUGAGUAACACGUGGAUAACCUACCUAUAAGACUGGGAUAACUUCGGGAAACCGGAGCUAAUACCGGAUAAUAUAUUGAACCGCAUGGUUCAAUAGAGAAAGACGGUUUUGCUGUCACUUAUAGAUGGAUCCGCGCCGCAUUAGCUAGUUGGUAAGGUAACGGCUUACCAAGGCAACGAUGCGUAGCCGACCUGAGAGGGUGAUCGGCCACACUGGAACUGAGACACGGUCCAGACUCCUACGGGAGGCAGCAGUAGGGAAUCUUCCGCAAUGGGCGAAAGCCUGACGGAGCAACGCCGCGUGAGUGACGAAGGUCUUCGGAUCGUAAAACUCUGUUAUUAGGGAAGAACAAAUGUGUAAGUAACUAUGCACGUCUUGACGGUACCUAAUCAGAAAGCCACGGCUAACUACGUG